AUUGAACGCUGGCGGCAGGCCUAACACAUGCAAGUCGAACGAGUGGCGGACGGGUGAGGAAUGUCUGGGAAACUGCCUGAUGGAGGGGGAUAACUACUGGAAACGGUAGCUAAUACCGCAUACCAUCAGAUCUGCACAGCUGGGAUUAGCUAGUAGGUGGGGUAACGGCUCACCUAGGCGACGAUCCCUAGCUGGUCUGAGAGGAUGACCAGCCAAACUGGAACUGAGCCACGGUCCAGACUCCUACGGGAGGCAGCAGUGGGGAAUAUUGCACAAUGUGCGAAAGCCUGAUGCAGCCAUGCCGCGUGUAUGAAGAAGGCCUUCGGGUUGUAAAGUACUUUCAUCGGGGAGGCGUUACCCGCAGAAGAAGCACCGGCUAACUCCGUGCCAGCAGCCGCGGUAAUAC
rnacentral:rRNA from 1 species